rnacentral:rRNA from 1 species
UACAGAGGUCUCAAGCGUUGUUCGGAUUCAUUGGGCGUAAAGGGUGCGUAGGUGGCGCCGUAAGUCGGGUGUGAAUCUCGGAGCUUAACUCCGAAACUGCAUUCGAUAACUGCCGUGCUUGAGGACUGGAGAGGAGACUGGAAUUUACGGUGUAGCGGUGAAAUUGCGUAGAGUAUCGAUAAGGAAGACCAGUGGCGAAGG